GAUGAACGCUGGCGGCGUGCCUAAUACAUGCAAGUCGAGCGAACAGACGAGGCGCUUGCUCCUCUGACGUUAGCGGCGGACGGGUGAGUAACACGUGGCUAACCUACCUAUAAGACUGGGAUAACUUCGGGAAACCGGAGCUAAUACCGGAUAAUAUAUUGAACCGCAUGGUUCAAUAGUGAAAGACGGUUUUGCUGUCACUUAUAGAUGGAUCCGCGCCGCAUUAGCUAGUUGGUAAGGUAACGGCUUACCAAGGCAACGAUGCGUAGCCGACCUGAGAGGGUGAUCGGCCACACUGGAACUGAGACACGGUCCAGACUCCUACGGGAGGCAGCAGUAGGGAAUCUUCCGCAAUGGGCGAAAGCCUGACGGAGCAACGCCGCGUGAGUGAUGAAGGUCUUCGGAUCGUAAAACUCUGUUAUUAGGGAAGAACAAAUGUGUAAGUAACUAUGCACGUCUUGACGGUACCUAAUCAGAAAGCCACGGCUAACUACGUG
rnacentral:rRNA from 1 species